UGGUAUAUUUUCUAACUUUUUACGACCUACUUAGGAAUGCGCAUUCGGCAUCCUGUCCAACAUGGAAAAUACUUUCUGCACCGCAGGCUGUGUGGCUCCGUGCACACCGUCCGCGGUGAUCGACUUCCGCACGGAGCCGACGAAAAAAAAAAAAAAUUAUGCUGCAUCCAGCUCCGCAUAUGAGCCAAUCAUUUUGGACAGUAUGCACGAGCGAUGC
rnacentral:lncRNA from 1 species